CAGGUGGUCAGGUAGAGAAUACCAAGGCGCUUGAGAGAACUCGGGUGAAGGAACUAGGCAAAAUGGUGCCGUAACUUCGGGAGAAGGCACGCUGACACGUAGGUGAAGUGAUUUACUCAUGGAGCUGAAGUCAGUCGAAGAUACCAGCUGGCUGCAACUGUUUAUUAAAAACACAGCACUGUGCAAACACGAAAGUGGACGUAUACGGUGUGACGCCUGCCCGGUGCCGGAAGGUUAAUUGAUGGGGUCAGCGUAAGCGAAGCUCCUGAUCGAAGCCCCGGUAAACGGCGGCCGUAACUAUAACGGUCCUAAGGUAGCGAAAUUCCUUGUCGGGUAAGUUCCGACCUGCACGAAUGGCGUAAUGAUGGCCAGGCUGUCUCCACCCGAGACUCAGUGAAAUUGAACUCGCUGUGAAGAUGCAGUGUACCCGCGGCAAGACGGAAAGACCCCGUGAACCUUUACUAUAGCUUGACACUGAACAUUGAGCCUUGAUGUGUAGGAUAGGUGGGAGGCUUUGAAGUGUGGACGCCAGUCUGCAUGGAGCCGACCUUGAAAUACCACCCUUUAAUGUUUGAUGUUCUAACGUGGACCCGUAAUCCGGGUUGCGGACAGUGUCUGGUGGGUAGUUUGACUGGGGCGGUCUCCUCCUAAAGAGUAACGGAGGAGCACGAAGGUUGGCUAAUCCUGGUCGGACAUCAGGAGGUUAGUGCAAUGGCAUAAGCCAGCUUGACUGCGAGCGUGACGGCGCGAGCAGGUGCGAAAGCAGGUCAUAGUGAUCCGGUGGUUCUGAAUGGAAGGGCCAUCGCUCAACGGAUAAAAGGUACUCCGGGGAUAACAGGCUGAUACCGCCCAAGAGUUCAUAUCGACGGCGGUGUUUGGCACCUCGAUGUCGGCUCAUCACAUCCUGGGGCUGAAGUAGGUCCCAAGGGUAUGGCUGUUCGCCAUUUAAAGUGGUACGCGAGCUGGGUUUAGAACGUCGUGAGACAGUUCGGUCCCUAUCUGCCGUGGGCGCUGGAGAACUGAGGGGGGCUGCUCCUAGUACGAGAGGACCGGAGUGGACGCAUCACUGGUGUUCGGGUUGUCAUGCCAAUGGCACUGCCCGGUAGCUAAAUGCGGAAGAGAUAAGUGCUGAAAGCAUCUAAGCACGAAACUUGCCCCGAGAUGAGUUCUCCCUGAGACUUAGAGUCUCCUGAAGGAACGUUGAAGACGACGACGUUGAUAGGCCGGGUGUGUAAGCGCAGCGAUGCGUUGAGCUAACCGGUACUAAUGAACCGUGAGGCUUAACCUU
rnacentral:rRNA from 2 species